rnacentral:rRNA from 1 species
CAGUCGCCGCGGUAAUACAGAGGGUGCAAGCGUUAAUCGGAAUUACUGGGCGUAAAGCGCGCGUAGGUGGUUUGUUAAGUUGGAUGUGAAAUCCCCGGGCUCAACCUGGGAACUGUAUCCAAAACUGGCAAGCUAGAGUAUGGUAGAGGGUGGUGGAAUUUCCUGUGUAGCGGUGAAAUGCGUAGAUUUAGGAAGGAACACCAGUGGCGAAGGCGACCACCUGGACUGAUACUGACACUGAGGUGCGAAAGCGUGGGGAGCAAACAGGAUUAGAGACCCCCGUAGUCCCUGUCUCUUAUAC